AAUUUCCACAUGGUUUUUGCAUUAUUUCUUAACUAGCACUAGUUUACCUGAGUUUUGCCUGAAGAUGAUAUUGAAAUCUAAGGAUCAAAUUAUCAAAAUAUUAGGAUGAUCUUAUCAUUGAUAUGAUUAUGAACUUAUCACUUUACUCAGAUAGUUGACAGGUAUAUUGACCCUCAUCGAAAUGCUGUAUCAACCUCUGCUUAUCAUGCAUUUAGUUACAAAAGUUAAUUGGUCGUCUCAAGAGUAGUGGGAUUUUUUAGUAACUUUUAUACAUGAAAGUAUUAUGAAACAAAUGCUCAUGCAUUAGGUGAAUAUACUUGUAUAUCACCUGACUAUUAUUAGGUAGCUUGUAAUGUGAUAUCGAAGAAGUUAUUAACAGAGGGAGAAUUUUCAAAACUUUAAUAUAAUCCUUGCUUUAAAGCUUAUUUAAGGGAUGUCUGUGCUGGAAUGUCCAUUAAAAUUUGAACUUCUAGAGCUUAAUGUUGUCUCAAAACCUAGUAAGUGGAAUGGAAAGAUAUGAUCAAGUAACUUGAUGCCACAGUUUGGUUUUCUUCACCAUUUAGUAAAAUGUAACAACAAAUCUCAUGUUCAUAGAAUUUUCUGGGCAUGUUUUUUGUUAUGAAAUCUACCCUUAAACUUACAUAACUUCUUUUUGAAUUUAUAUUUGAACAAGUACAGGGCUUGUUCUUUUUGUUUGAUAAGUUGUGGCUAGUGAUUUAAGUUUCAUGGCAUUUCUCUUUGCAAUUUUUUUGUCUUAACUUUUUAUGUUGUUAAGUAUAUAAGAUAUGUUGAAAGAACCCGUAGACAGGACGUACCCUAAAUUACUUGCAAAUUAAAAAAAAUAAUGAACUUCUCCUAUAUAUUUUUUUAAUAAUUUAAGACAUCUUCAAAUGUUUGGAGAUGGAUUAUAUCCAAAAAAAAGAAAUAAAAGUGGACUGAAUGCUUUAAUCUUUUCAUUCAUUGAAAUAUCUGUCAUAUGCUUAUCUGGUACUCUACCAACAAAAACCAUCUUGCAUACAAAACUUUUGCGCAUUUAUGAUUAUCGCUUUUUUGUUUUUUAAUAUUCAAUUUCUCUCAUAUGGAAGUCUAUCAAUUCACGACUAAUGCCAUAGCUUAAUGAUUCUGGUUUUAGUUGCAAAGCUCAAAUCAAUUAUUAAAUUAUUCUUUCACUGUGACCUCCUUUAUGUGAUAAUAAUGUGAUUGUAUUAUGUAGUUGGUGGUCUAGAAUAUAUGCAAAAUUUUUCAUAAGCUUUUGUUUCUUUUCUUUCUAACCAAAGAGUUGAAUGAUGUGGACUUUGUGAAGGUAUGUGAUAAACAAGGGGUGGUCAUAAGGCCAUUCUUGAAUAAUGUAUAUUAUGAUCCACUUUUUCCUAAUGAAUGAGAUGGUUAAACAAUUUUUUAUACAACUAGAAAUCUUUUGAAUUAUUUGUUCUGGUGAAUUGGUUGACUCUUUGAUAGAUGAUUAGAAUUAUAAAUACAUAUGUGUUUUGAGCCUGAUGAAAAGAUUACAGUUUGAUUAAAUGACUAAAAAUAUAUCCUUCCUCUUACCAAAUGGAAAAAACAAUAUAUCCUUCCUAUUUAGUUUAUUAAGUAUUUAAUUAGUGUUAGGAUUAUGUGUACCACCAAUGCACAUGAUGGGUGCAUAAAACAGGAGGACCUGGGAGUCAUUGUUCCCAACUUAUGAAAAACUGCUGCUCUUUUGAAUAUCCAAUAUUUCUUUUGCAUAUCUUAUAUUUGUUACAAAUUUUCAAAUUCAAACCUUAAAAUCAGUGUCAUUUCAUAUCAGUCAAGGAGAUCUCUACAAACUAUGAGGUCAUUACUUGGGAACUAUAAGAUGAUGCAUAAAGAGCUAUAGGAUCACCACCAAGGCACCAACAACUGCUAGCUCAGUUGGCUGGCACCUCUCCCCUGAGUUCUUGCCCUUGGAGGAGGUUCAAGGUUCAAAUCAUAGUUGCUGGGAGUUGACUACGAAAUCUAUUAUUGCUCAUGCAAUACUGAUGCUGGGUUUCUUGGUGCAUAAUCUUGACAUGUCACAGCUGACAAAUUUCCAUUGUGUUAGUAAGGAUUGCAGUACUGUAUCUGAUGUGUUACAUAUUUGUGCCCAUGGGAAUUGGUUUUACAAAUACAUCCUUGUAAAAACAGUCAUCCUUUUGUUGGUAAGUUGGUCUUUUAUUGUCCAGUUAUAUGGCUAUGCAUUUACUCUCCUAUCUUGAUUAACCAAUGAAGUAUGUUUUGUUGUUCAAAUAAUUCAAUCAGACCAUCUAAUUUAUUGUUCGAUGGUUCUAUAAAUCUUAGAAAAUCUAUUAUUUAAAAUUUCAUAUUCAAUGAUAAAGAUUUAUGGCUCAGUCAAAUGAAUUUCCUAUUAAUCAUCCACAAUAAUGUAAUAGAGAACAAAGUUGAAAAAUUGCAAGGUUCCAUUCAGUUUGGGCAUUGUGCUAAGGCAAGUAUAAUAUGAUGGUACUUUACUCAUAAUCAUUAAUUUUCCAGUAUAACCCAUCUAGGUAUAUAAGAAUUGGGCAUCUGCAUGAAGACAUACCAGCUUUAUUGCAUGAUAGCAGCCUAUCAUAUUGGUUUAAGUCACAACCUAGACGUGAUCCAUAUGCUGUUUUUUUGUACACUUUUGUUCUCAUUGAUUAUGUACACAUAUUUAAUGUAUUGUUUCUGUACAGUGCACUUAUCUGAUGGUGGACUGUUCAUCAGUGAAUGCAUAGGCAUAUACUAGCUACUUGCCAUAAUGUGAACUAACGUCCGCUCUAACACUUUCUGCUUAAGUUUCAUAAUUUUAAAUCAUACAUAUUAUCUACUCAUGACUGUUGCGAGACCUAAGUUACGAUCUGUGAAGUGUCAACUACUAUUAAGUCAAAUCCCAGAAUUAGAUAUAAUUCAUGUAGAGGGUGGACUGGUUGAGUUCUUUUAUCAACCAGAUUUGUUAGAUCUAUAUUGAAAUCCAGAGACAACUUAAUCUUGUUUCGUGGGAACAAAAGAAGAGAAGAAGAGGGAGACAGGGUUCGAGAAGAAAACGAGUUGUUGGAAGUCAUGUAUGUUUCUAUGCUUAUUCUAAUUGUAUUUGUUACUAAACAAACAACAGCAAGAAAUUAGUCCCUUGUUGGUCAUAUAUUAUUAGUUACGACGGUAGUUUACCUGUUAUAACCCCAGGAACAGCAGAAUAAAGUAAUGGAAAAAAUCAAAAUAAACAAGCAGGCAAAACAUCAAAAUUUUAUGUGCUUCACCCGAUUGUCUGGCUCUGUUCAUAAGAGGAGAAAGAGGUCCAUUAUAUUUGUAUAAAGGGUUUAACGAAGAGAAUUUACCUCUUCCUAACAACCCUCCAGUCUCUGGUACACCUUAUCAUGCCACUUCAGAGAAAAUUUCUAAAAAGCUCAAAGCCUGAUCCAGGAGAAAGCUGCACAUAGAGAAGUCACAAGGAAAAACCUGAGACAAAAUUUCUCCAAAAUCUUCCCCAUAAAGUCAAAUGACCCUGUGAGAAAUGGAUAUGUUAUGCUGUGCCUUGAUAAGUAUGGAGUUUUUGAUUGAGCUUCCAAACUAGUCAUUCCUCUGCUUCUGAAUUCUUCAGAUUGCAGUGCUGUCUCUUUGUUUAUUGCUCUAAUGCUUCCCAGGCGGGGAAAUGGAUCCCCCUUCCUGUGUACGUUUUAUGUUGCAUCUUGUUAUAUGUAUAAUGGAAUCUUUUAGCAUAUCUGGGCCAUUGGUGUAAACAAUUUGGAGUAAAUAUCCAAAAUUUUGAAAUAUUAUAUGGUUUCUUU